GAUGAACGCUGGCGGCGUGCCUAAUACAUGCAAGUCGAGCGAACAGACGAGGAGCUUGCUCCUCUGACGUUAGCGGCGGACGGGUGAGUAACACGUGGAUAACCUACCUAUAAGACUGGGAUAACUUCGGGAAACCGGAGCUAAUACCGGAUAAUAUAUUGAACCGCAUGGUUCAAUAGUGAAAGACGGUUUUGCUGUCACUUAUAGAUGGAUCCGCGCCGCAUUAGCUAGUUGGUAAGGUAACGGCUUACCAAGGCAACGAUGCGUAGCCGACCUGAGAGGGUGAUCGGCCACACUGGAGCUGAGACACGGUCCAGACUCCUACGGGAGGCAGCAGUAGGGAAUCUUCCGCAAUGGGCGAAAGCCUGACGGAGCAACGCCGCGUGAGUGAUGAAGGUCUUCGGAUCGUAAAACUCUGUUAUUAGGGAAGAACAAAUGUGUAAGUAACUAUGCACGUCUUGACGGUACCUAAUCAGAAGCCACGGCUAACUACGUG
rnacentral:rRNA from 1 species